rnacentral:lncRNA from 1 species
CUACGGAGGUGGAAGCUGUGUGUGAGCUGCGCCCCGCAGCCCGCUCUCCCGCUCCAUUCUUCCCGCAGCCCCCCCUGCUCCAACCAGGUGACUGGGGGCUCAGCGGACCCGCCCUGCCGCCCGGAAUGGAGCGGGUCCCCAUGGAGCCCAAACUCCCUGCUCCACCUCUCUUCCCGCUGCCGCCGCCAAGCCGCUCCGAGCCCGAGGGAGAUGGCAACCCCCAUCCUUGUGCACGCCGUUGGACAGACUCCGCGCCGGAGCCCCGUCUGCCCUGGGCUGCCAGAGGUCUCCACAUCCUCCUCCUCCCUACUCUACCUGAGCUUCUUCCUCAUCUGCGGGACCCUGUGCCAAGGAACCUACCCAAAUCCAGGCCUGCUCCCUGAAACAUUGGCAAGAAACUGGAAAAAGAGGCUAAUAUGGAGAGGGAAGAAGUUUGGCAAGAUCUUUGGAGAGAAAAAGGACAGAGCUGAGCAAAUCUGCCCGCCAAAAUAUCACCCCUUUUCCAUGCUCCAUUCACAACCACCAGCCCAUUUUUCCACAUGACAAUCCUCUGCAGUCCAGAAGCUUGAAAAUUACAAGCCCAAGAUUCAAGACACAUGUUUCUUGUCCAGAGUCCUGCCUGUCUAGAAACAAAGAUAAAUCAGACCUCAGAGAAUCCGUCAAGCACUAUAUCCACUGGGCCCCCUAACCAGACUAGAAGUGCCCCAGUACAUUCUGAAGGGACACCUAUCACCUAUGUCCCCUGUGUGAGGUGAGGUGAUUUUGGAUGGAGUGACAACGACCCAGUGUCAGCAACCCUUCAUCUCUGGGCGUGUCUAUGGGGUUCUGCCAAACUUACCUCCACUGCAUCUCAGACUGAAGGUUCAGGGAGCUGCAGAUGGGCUCUGCCUGUGCUCUGGCACCGUCUGGUGUCCAUGCGCUCUAACAUUAACUCUCAGCUCUUCCGCCAGUUCCCUCAGUAGCCCUCUGGGCUGCACUGGCCUUGGACACCUGCCAGCUUGAUUUUCUUCCUCCUCUCCCUCUCAGUGCACUGAAGUGCCCUAUAGACCAGGGUAUUUCUCAAAGUCUCCUAGAGCGCUCACCACAACCCAAUACAGUAAAACUUGUUGGGUCCCCACCGUUGGGUCCUGAGAGCCCUCUUAUAUCAAUCCCCCUGCCUCAGUUCAUGAUACUGCCUUUAGGUCUGCUUCCUGCAAUAGAGGUAAGAUACAUGGGAAAAAAAGGCUCAAUGGACAGAAAAGAAGGAAGUUUAUGGAGAUGUCUUGAGAGAAAAUUCACAGUGAUUUGCAUAGCUGCCAACCAAAAUAUUACAACUUUUACAUGCUACAUUUAUGAAUAACAUCCCUUAUUUGUACAUGAUACACUCACAGAGGCCUUAGGCUUGAAACUACAAGCCCAAGAUUCAAGACAGAUGUUUCUGGGUCCUGAGUUGUGCCUCUCCUGAAACAAGGGAAGUCUGGCCCCAGAGAACCUAUCAAACUCUCUGGCCCUUGGGCCACAUGACCAGGCUGGAAAUACCCAUCAGAUUUUGAAGCCACAGGCAUGUCCCCACACUGAGGUGAGAAAAUUCUGGGCCAGAGAGUCAGAGGCACCCUGUAACCAAACCCUACAACUCUGGGCACAUCCUGAGUGUUCCACCAACUCAUCUUCAACCACAUCUCUAAGCUGGAGGUGUGUCCAGGAAGCUGCAGGUAUACGUUUCUGCUGCUCUGGCACCAUCUGGCGGCCAUCAGCUCUAACAUCAACUCUCAGCCCUUCAUUCUGUUUUCCCUCAGCUGUUCCCUGGGGCUGUUCUGGCUUUAGAUCUCUGCCAGCUUGAUGUUCUUUCUCUCAUCCUCUAAGCUUAAUGAAGUGCCCUACAGACUGGGCCGUUUCUCUUUCAAAGUCUCCCAGAGCACUCAUGCCAACCUACCCUAUCAAUACAUUAAAACCCUCUGCUUC